CUUAGUCCAUUUAAUCAUGAUUUCUUUAUGGUCGUUUAAUGUAUUUUAACAUGAAUAAUGACAAUAUAAUGGCAAUAAUGUUACUGUCAUGUGAAUAUAUAAUCGGUGCUUCACAGUGAUGUUUUAUGGUUUUAUACUGAUAUGAUUAGGAGUAAACGGCUCUAAAUAGGAAGUUUAUAUUUCUUUUGAUACUAAAUUGUUAACUUGUUUAAUUGUACUCACAUACAAUUAAAAACCAUGGAAUUAGUUAAUUGAUUAAAGGAACCUAAUCUCAGGCGUUAUAUCGUGUUAUGCACAGAGGGUUAGCUUUCUCCUGUAUGAUUAUGCCUGUUUGUUUAGUGAAGCAUUCGCUGACCUUAAAGACCGUCUGACAAGCUGAACUAUAAUAAUUUAUAUCAUAAGAAAAUGAUUACAUACUAAUGAUUAAUAAAUCGCGCUUGAAGACCUUAAAUGAACUAUCUUGCUCAUUAAAAACAACUUUAAAAAAUGCUCGAUUUUUCGAUUUUGCCAAAUCUUAAAAAUCGCCAAGGUCAAGUUAAUACGUCAUCACGCCCCCAACCAAAGACGAUGCCAUUCACAAACUUCUAGCUCUCAUACAACGAAUGCAAUUAACGCGAUGGCGGAGGGAAAUUCAGAUAGUGAAUUAAGUUUAAAUUUAGACUGGUCUUGUCGUCGUUCGAAGAGGAUGUAAAUGAAACGAAGAGGAUAACGUUGGUACAAACGCUUAUUUAUUUGAACCAGAAUAUAGAGAGGAAGAAGCUACAAAUACAGACGAAGACAUUGGCGUAGGCAUUCGUAGGCUUUUGAAUACCGAGUGGUGUUUGUGCACAAGGUGUGGCAUAAUGCCUACAAUGAAAGAGUCAAAAUGCUGCAUGGAAUAUAAACAGAUGCAAGACAAGAUGGUCCGUGCUGGUAUGCAAGGUGGAUGUAUAACAUCUCAUCCUGGAUUUGAACAUGUUUGUUUAAAUGAAUGGGUGUUACAGCUUACCUACUUAUCGUAUCGGCAGCAGUAUGGGGUGCGAGCCGUGUUACCACAUUCAAGAGAAGAGCAAUACAGACACAUUGCAUACAGAAAUCUGGUCCGCUUCUGCUAUGCUAUUUAGGCAGACUCAACAGAGUUGCUCUACCAGCCUGUGCUGUGCUUAAGAUAUGCAAGGCAUUUCCAAACCCAGAAGAAGAGGGUUACACAGGAUUCAAAUUAGGAAAGUUAGAAGAAAUAUAAUUAUAAAUUUUAUAGUGUAAAUUUCCACUGAUGAAUAUAACCGAGCAGCGGGUAAAUAAACUUAAUUUCUUACCACUUGGUAUUCAAAGCAUAUGACGGUCUGCGCAAUGUCUUCGUCUGUAUUUGUAGCUGCUCCUGCUUCUCUAAAUUCAUUUGCAUCAUCUUCGAAUGGUAUAAAAUGGUAGUCUCUAAAAUUAAACUUAAUUUGCUUCUUAUCAGUAAUCUUUCCCAUCAGCCUAACAGAACAAAAUUCCUGUAGUUCAUUAUAAUUACUGUAUUGUGUAUGCUAUGUGCUUGUUUGUAAACUUGACAUUUUGGUAAAAUUAAUGAAUAAUUGGCACACUGCCCUAAUUCAACUUUUAUUAUUUAUUUAUUAUUAAAUUUUAUUUAAUAAUAUAAUAUAAUUUUAACUGGUGGUCAUGGCUUAAAGUUUGAUUCUAAACUUAUUUUGGCCUCUUUCCACACACUUAUUAUUAUUCUUAUUAUUUCUUUUUACUAUUAAGUAUUUUCUUUGUGCAGUAAUAUGUAUGUGUAUGUGUGUGAAUAAAUUAAAUGAAAAAAAAAAAA
rnacentral:lncRNA from 1 species